GAUGAACGCUGGCGGCGUGCUUAACACAUGCAAGUCGAACGGUGAAGGCGGAGCUUGCUCUGCUGGAUCAGUGGCGAACGGGUGAGUAACACGUGAGCAAUCUGCCCCUGACUCUGGGAUAAGCGCUGGAAACGGCGUCUAAUACUGGAUACGAGCUGCGAAGGCAUCUUCAGCAGCUGGAAAGAAUUUCGGUCAGGGAUGAGCUCGCGGCCUAUCAGCUUGUUGGUGAGGUAAUGGCUCACCAAGGCGUCGACGGGUAGCCGGCCUGAGAGGGUGACCGGCCACACUGGGACUGAGACACGGCCCAGACUCCUACGGGAGGCAGCAGUGGGGAAUAUUGCACAAUGGGCGAAAGCCUGAUGCAGCAACGCCGCGUGAGGGACGACGGCCUUCGGGUUGUAAACCUCUUUUAGCAGGGAAGAAGCGAAAGUGACGGUACCUGCAGAAAAAGCGCCGGCUACUACGUG
rnacentral:rRNA from 1 species